CUCGAUAAUGACUUCUUAGAGGGACACUUGGUGUUUAACCAAGGGAAGUUUGAGGCAGUAACAGGUCUGUGAUGCCCUUUAGAUGUUCUGGGCUGCACGCGCGCUACACUGAUACGAUCAACGAGUACUGAAGACCUGAUCCGAAAGGAUUGGGUAAACUUUUGAAAUCGUAUCGUGCUGGGGAUCGAUAAUUGUAAUUAUUUAUCGUGAACGAGGAAUUCCUAGUAAGCGCAAGUCAACAGCUUGCGCUGAUUACGUCCCUGCCCUUUGUACACACCGCCCGCCGCUGCUACCGAUGUUUGGUCCGGUGAAAUUUUAGGAUCCGCAACUGACACUUGUUUUACUUUCGGGUAGAACGAGUUUGUUGUGGAGAAUUUGAGUGAACCUUGCCAAAUAGAGGAAGCAAAAGUCGUAACAAGGUAUUCGUAGGUGAACCUGCAGAAGGAUC
rnacentral:rRNA from 1 species